rnacentral:tRNA from 1 species
GGAAAGAUACCCAUCGUGGCGCUAACAAUGCCAAGGUCGCGGGUUCGAUUCCCGUUCGGUCCC